AGAAGAAAAGACUCUCUCUCUAUUCUCCUCUCGACAGUUUUUAUCUUCUUUCGGCUAGGGUUCUUCUUCCCGAGAUUCAUUGUACAGGGAAUAUCAGUACUUUUCUUCUGUGUUGAUUUUAGUUUUUUUCACGGUUUGAUAUGAUGAUCUGCAUUGAAGAGAAGAGUAACUGAAUUGAAGUUAGGGUUUGAAGGAAUCAAUCCGAGAAGAGUAACUGAAAUUGAAGUUAGGGUUUGAAGCAAUCAAGCCGAACGAAACAUAGGUUAAUGAUAUUUGGGUUAAUCAUAAUCGAACAAAACAGAUGCGGUGUUUUGAGAUAGAGUUAGGGUUUGGUUUUGAGAUGAAGGAACCAAGAGCAGUUCGAUCAAUCAAUCAACUUUUCUCUGGCUCCUAAUCAACUCAAGAACAAUCAAUCGCCACCAUCAACAACAAUCGAUCACUGCAAUUCGACCAGGCUUAUUGCAGAUUACCAGGAUGUAGGUGGUGAUGAGUGACGCAGCUGGACGUCAUGGCACCAUUAACAUGGAUACGAUCUUUAUGAGGAUGGGAAGACAUGUUUUAAGACGAUGGACCGUAUAAGAUAUGAAAAAAAUCAAAACGAAAUCACAAAGUUUACUUUGUGCACAAGAGAAAUCAGGGAAGGAAGAAUGGAGUUGUUGUGCUGCCGAUGGAGGUAUUGAUGAACAAGGAAGGAAUUGCCAGUUGGAUUGAUGAUUCUGGUGUUGAUGUUUUUUCUUUGUGUUAUUAUUAGAAUCAGUACAGGUGGCCAUGAUAUGCGGUAACUCCUAUCUGUUCUUUUUCUUUCUUAUCAAUUUUACGUGAGCUGUAGAGUAAACAUUUGCACGUUUAACAUUCUUUGCCGUAUUCAAUUUGUCCCCUUUUUUAUAUAAGGAUUCAAUGCUCCAGCAGUAUUGGGUUUUAAUUACACCAUCAGUUGUUUUUGUAUGCUACAGAAGGUGUCUAAUAUGAAACCGAAAACCAGUUAUUAACUUCGUGUUGUCUUCUAUGGAAUAUUAGGUACUUCAUUGACUUAGAAUUCUUGGUCACCUUCAACUUUGCUCUGUAUUACUAUUUUCCACAGAGCAUUCUAGGAUUAUGGGAAGGUUGAACUAAUUUCUAAUUUUUGAAACUCAGUGUGAUGAAAUACAUUGGGUGGUACUAAACAACCUAAUUUGGAAAUUCGAUCCCUUGCUUCCCGUUGUCAGAAAAUAUCAAAAGUUUGAUCAGGCAAGUACUCUUUGUCCUCCACGAUGCCACCAAGGUCAUCUUCAACCUUGCCAUUCAUGAGGUGCUUGACAUAAAAGAAAGGUGCCAUUACCAUGUAUACUCUUUGUCAUGGAGCACAAAAUCGAAUGUAUUAGGUGAAUCAUCAUCAUGUUUACUGAUUUUGUUCACUGCGACCAUUUCAUCUACUUAUUCAAAGAGGUGAACUUUCAACCAUGUUGGCAGUGGUAACCAAAGACGGGCAAUUUCCUCAACAAACUAACUAAGAGGGUCUACAUAUUACCAAGCAAUCUAUGUAACAGUUCUUUUUUUUUUUAUUUUUUGGAAACUUGGAUAUGUAUUCAGUAAACAAUGUUACCAGAUGCCGGCACUGUGUGCAUGUGUCGUUGUGUGGCUCACACAAGACUAAUGUUAAAACUAUUUCCGUCCUUACUGACAUGCUGUAUUUGGGUGCAGUGUGCAUCCAUGGAAAAUUAAAACCGUUUAUUCAAUUAACGAUAACAAAUAAGGACUC